GAUGAACGCUGGCGGCGUGCAUAACACAUGCAAGUCGAGCGAGGGUUUGCUCAGUAUUGAGUAUUCUAAGACUAGAAUGUUCAAUUCUGAGCAAAACCAAGCGGCGGACGGGUGAGUAACGCGUGGGUAACCUGCCCUAUACACAUGGAUAACAUACUGAAAAGUUUACUAAUACAUGAUAAUAUAUAUUUGCGGCAUCGCAGAUAUAUCAAAGUGUUAGCGGUAUAGGAUGGACCCGCGUCUGAUUAGCUAGUUGGUGAGAUAACUGCCCACCAAGGCGACGAUCAGUAGCCGACCUGAGAGGGUGAUCGGCCACAUUGGAACUGAGACACGGUCCAAACUCCUACGGGAGGCAGCAGUGGGGAAUAUUGCACAAUGGGCGAAAGCCUGAUGCAGCAACGCCGCGUGAACGAUGAAGGUCUUCGGAUCGUAAAGUUCUGUUGCAGGGGAAGAUAAUGACGGUACCCUGUGAGGAAGCCCCGGCUAACUACGUGCCAGCAGCCGCGGUAAUACGUAGGGGGCUAGCGUUAUCCGGAUUUACUGGGCGUAAAGGGUGCGUAGGUGGUCCUUCAAGUCGGUGGUUAAAGGCUACGGCUCAACCGUAGUAAGCCGCCGAAACUGGAGGACUUGAGUGCAGGAGAGGAAAGUGGAAUUCCCAGUGUAGCGGUGAAAUGCGUAGAUAUUGGGAGGAACACCAGUAGCGAAGGCGGCUUUCUGGACUGCAACUGACACUGAGGCACGAAAGCGUGGGUAGCAAACAGG
rnacentral:rRNA from 1 species